CAUAGCGACUAUCGUGGCAUAUCAAUAAGCGGAGGAAAAGAAACUAGCAAGGAUUCCCUUAGUAACGGCGAGUGAAGCGGGAAGAGCUCAAAUUUGAAAUCUUCAAGGUUUUACCUUGACGAAUUGUAGUUUAAAGAAGUGUUUUCUGUUGGAGUUUCGGUAAAAGUUCUUUGGAAUAGGACAUCAUAGAGGGUGAGAAUCCCGUAUUUGACCGUUACUUUCCAGCUGUGUGAUACACUUUCAAAGAGUCGGAUUGUUUGGGAAUGCAGUCCAAAAUGGGUGGUAAAUUUCAUCUAAAGCUAAAUAUUGGCGAGAGACCGAUAGCGAACAAGUACCGUGAGGGAAAGAUGAAAAGAACUUUGAAAAGAGAGUUAAACAGUACGUGAAAUUGUCAAAAGGGAAGCGUUUGACACCAGUGUUGUUUUCUCGAAAAUCAAUUAAAAAUGAUGGGAUUUUGUGUUGUAUUGACUUUAUCAGCUUUCUGCACUUUUUUCCUAUCUUUUUUAAUGCACUUUUCGUUUAACAAGUCAACAUCAAUUUCUUUUGUUGUAAAAGAGUCAUUGGAAGGUGGCUUUCUUAUCGGAGAAAGUGUUUAUAGCCUUUGAUCUCUGCAAUCCGGAGAGACUGAGGUCUGCAGCGUAGACUCUUCGGGGUUAGAUACAUUUGUGCUAAGCUAUAGCUUCUUUAUAGACAACUUGUUGACUAUAAUUCAAUCCUUGUAACUUACUCGCUUAUGCUAUUUUACCUACGCUUAGGAUGUUGAUAUGCAUGACUGAUAU
rnacentral:rRNA from 1 species